rnacentral:tRNA from 1 species
GAGAUAUUAGUAGAAUGACCAAAUACACUGCCUCGUCAAGGCUGAAUUGUGAGUUAAAAUCUCACAUAUCCUA